GGCUGCAACUCGCCUACAUGAAGUCGGAAUUGCUAGUAAUCGCGGAUCAGCAUGCCGCGGUGAAUACGUUCCCGGGCCUUGUACACACCGCCCGUCAAACCAUGAGAGUUGGCAACACCCGAAGUCGGUAGUCUAACCGCAAGGAGGACGCCGCCGAAGGUGGGGUCGAUGAUUAGGGUUAAGUCGUAACAAGGUAGC
rnacentral:rRNA from 1 species